AGGGUGUUUUACCACCACAUGGGCGUGACCUCCGUGCAGGCAGACGAUUGUAAGAUUGUGAGCGGCUGAGGCGAGGGAUUGGUCUGCUUCUGGGAGAUGAGGAUGGGAGCCAACCUGUGGAAGGCACCCAGUCAGACACGUCCGGUUCAACACUAGCUCCCUGAUGACCACCAACCUCCCAGACAAAAGUCUCCACGAGGGGCCUGCAUCACAGAUGACGACCUCACAGCCUACUGCAGACACAGGGAAGUGAUCUGCCACUAGGACUUCUCUGAAGACUCUUCCUCCCAGGCCCAUGUUCUGCCCAUCUGCAGUUCUCACUACGUAGAGUCAUCUGGUUACAACAUCGGCCGUUCCCUAUGACAUCCUGUCUUGCUCUUACCCUUCCUACUGACCCACGUACACAAUCUACAACCAGGACUUUUAUACACUGGCUCCGCCUCUGGACACUAUAUACUGUAUGUUAUGUGUGACUGCAUUGUUCUGAUAUCCUGGUUAAAUUGUUAAAUUGAUAUUCCAAGAUGGCGUAGCAGUAAGUCCUUUCGUGUCGUGUCUCUGUAUAUAUCUCUUUCGUUUUUUUACAUAUUUUUCUUCGCUUAUCUCCUUAAAAACUUUUUGCUAAACCUAAGCUUCCAAUUACUCUCCUGCAACCCGCCUCACCCAAUGUAGCUAUUUUUCCUAAAGUAUUUAUAUUUAUAUUUACUUGGAACCGGAACCCCUCAACUGAAGCUCAACUGAAGCUAGCCAGCAAACCACUAGCCAUGCUAGCGGUCUUCAGCUAACCGGUCAUCAGCUAACCUUCAGCCCGGAAAGCUCUCGCCAGUUCGAACAACGCGACUCUAACCAGAGCAUAACGGACCUAUUUUUUUUUUUUCAUCCACCGAUUUCUUCCCCGGAUUCCCACCGCAAAUGGAACAUUUUUCAGCUGGAUCUUCACAACUAGCUAUCUAGCUAUCUACAAACUGUUAGCUUGCUAGCACAGGCCUGCUAACCGUCUGCAUCGCCGCGUCCCAAACACCCAUAUUUACUUUCUAUCUCUUUUUGAUUUUAAUUUGUUUAUACCUUCCGGAAACCUGCCUCACCCAAUGUGAUAUGGAAUCGCUAUUAUUUUUAAUUUUUUAGAACACACUCAAGAACCUCCAGAAGCUAACUAGCUACAAGCUAUUUAGUCAUUGUUUGUUUUUUUUAACCUGGAUAACACUCGGCAGUCCAGCUUCCCUGCCCCAUCCACCGCUGCCCCCUGGACACUGAUCUCUUGACCACAUAGCUGAUGCACGCUGGACUGUCCAUUAAUCACGGUACUCCAUUCUGCUUGUUUGUUUUAUCUGUUGGCCCCAUUGCCUAGUCAACGCCAUUUUACCUGCUGUUGUCGUGCCAGCUGAUUAGCUGUUGUUGUCAAACCUACUGUUUUAGCUAGCUUUCCCAAUUCAACACCUGUGACUACUGUAUGCCUCGCUGUAUGUCUCUCUCAAAUGUCGAUAUGCCUUGUAUACUGUUGUUCAGGUUAGUUAUCAUUGUUUUAGUUCACAAUGGACCCCCUAGUUCCACUCCUCAUACCCCUGAUAACUCCUUUGUCCCACCUCCCACACAUGCGGUGACCUCACCCAUUACAACCAGCAUGUCCAGAGAUACAACCUCUCUCAUCAUCACCCAGUGCCUGGGCUUACCUCCGCUGCACCCGCACCCCACCAUACCCCUGUCUGCGCAUUAUGCCCUGAAUAUAUUCUACCAUGCCCAGAAACCUGCUCCUCUUAUUCUCUGUCCCCAACGCUCUAGGCGACCAGUUUUGAUAGCCUUUAGCCGCACCCUCAUACUACUCCUUCUCUGUUCCGCGGGUGAUGUGGAGGUAAACCCAGGCCCUGCAUGUCCCCUGGCACCCUCAUUUGUUGACUUCUGUGAUCGAAAAAGCCUUGGUUUCAUGCAUGUCAACAUCAGAAGCCUCCUCCCUAAGUUUGUUUUACUCACUGCUUUAGCACACUGCUAACCCUGAUGUCCUUGCUGUGUCUGAAUCCUGGCUCAGGAAGGCCACCAAAAAUUCAGAGAUUUCCAUACCCAACUAUAACAUCUUCCGUCAAGAUAGAACUGCCAAAGGGGGAGGAGUUGCAGUCUACUGCAGAGAUAGCCUGCAAAGUAAUGUCAUACUUUCCAGGUCCAUACCCAAACAGUUCGAACUACCAAUUUUGAAAAUUACUCUCUCCAGAAAUAAGUCUCUCACUGUUGCCGCCUGCUACCGACCCCCCUCAGCUCCCAGCUGUGCCCUGGACACCAUUUGUGAAUUGAUCGCCCCCCAUCUAGCUUCAGAGUUUGUUCUGUUAGGUGACCUAAACUGGGAUAUGCUUAACACCCCGGCAGUCCUACAAUCUAAGCUAGAUGCCCUCAAUCUCACACAAAUCAUCAAGGAACCCACCAGAUACAACCCUAACUCUGUAAACAAGGGCACCCUCAUAGACGUCAUCCUGACCAACUGGCCCUCCAAAUACACCUCCGCUGUCUUCAACCAGGAUCUCAGCGACCACUGCCUCAUUGCCUGUACUCGCUACGGAGCCGCAGUCAAACGACCACCCCUCAUCACUGUCAAACACUCCCUAAAACACUUCUGUGAGCAGGCCUUCCUAAUCGACCUGGCCCGGGUAUCCUGGAAGGACAUUGACCUCAUCCCGUCAGUUGAGGAUGCCUGGUCAUUCUUUAAAAGCAACUUCCUCUCCAUUUUAGAUAAGCAUGCUCCGUUCAAAAAAUGCAGAACCAAGAACAGAUACAGCCCUUGGUUCACUCCAGACCUGACUGCCCUCGACCAGCACAAAAACAUCCUGUGGCGGACUGCAAUAGCAUCGAAGAGUCCCCGUGAUAUGCAACUGUUCAGGGAAGUCAGGAACCAAUACACGCAGUCAGUCAGGAAAGCUAAGGCCAGCUUCUUCAGGCAGAAGUUUGCAUCCUGUAGCUCCAACUCCAAAAAGUUCUGGGACACUGUGAAGUCCAUGGAGAAUGUCCUCCCAGCUGCCCACUGCACUGAGGCUAGGUAACACGGUCACCACCGAUAAAUCCAUGAUUAUCGAAAACUUCAAUAAGCAUUUCUCAACGGCUGGCCAUGCC